UCUUCAGAUACGGGAUUUAAUCCAGGUGAUGAGGUGAGUGGGGCAACUGUAAAGGAAUGGAUUAAGACAAAGGCUAUUAAAGUGGAUCCUGAUGUACAGCCGGCACCUGCCCAUACUGUGACAAUUAAUCCUGCGGUGAGGAUUUCAGUUUUUUCAGGGGAGGAAAAGGACACUUAUGAUGUGUGGCGAUAUAAGGUGGGGUCCUUGCUUGUAAAACAUGGAGAGGAAGUGGUGGCCACAGCAUUAAGGAGGUCAUUGAAGGGUAGAGCCAGCAAGGUAGUGAUGAAUGUGGGACCUAACGCAAGUGUCAGGGAGAUUGUUGCCAAGAUGGACAGCAUAUUUGGAGCAGUUGAGAAAGGGGAAAACUUGUUAGCAAAAUUCUUCAGUGCUCGUCAGAAGGAGGGAGAGGAUGUGUCUACAUGGAGUUGCAGGCUUGAGGAUAUUAUGAAUAAGGCAGUACAACAAGGAGAUGUCCCAGAUCGGAAUGCAGAGGGAAUGCUACGUACAAUGUUCUGGUCUGGGUUGAGACGAGAAAUCAAAGAUGUUACUGGUCAAAAGUAUGAUACUGUCAGACCGUUUGAUGAGCUGAGAAUUGCAGUACACUAAGUAGAAUGGGAUUUGAUGCAGCGGGAAGAGGUGACAACUCCAGGUAAGGUAGCUGAUAAGGUCAAACCUGUUGUGCAUAUGGCUGCAGCUGAAAGAGAUGAAGGGACUUAUCCAGCAAUUGACAACAGAUAUGGUAGAUAUGAAGAAAACCCAACAAAAGUCUACAGCAAAGCAGAGUGGAGAUAAAGCAGACAAGGGUAAAGGUUCUCAUGGUAAACAGAAGAAAGGGCCUCAGUCCUGGUAUCAGUCCAAUUAUACACAUGGCCAGCAGCAGGCGAGCUUUCAGCCACAGCAGCUAAACCCAGUUCAACCACAGCAUCUCCAGGCCUAGCAACGAGGCCAUCCUCCACCACCACAGUAUCGAGGAAACGAGCCCCAAUGCUCUGCCCUGGAACCACACCCCUCGCCUGGGCUUAACAUUUUUGUUGGCCUAGCUACGCCCCUGGUAAUAAAAUGUGCUAAAAAUAAACUGUGAUAUUACACUUCAUUGAAAUAUUUCUGAUGUUAUGUAAUUAUUGUGUAUAUAUAAUAUUAAACUCUAAUUAAAUUUUUAUUAUUAGCACAGUUGAUGGUUCACAUUCAUAUUUAGCACACAGUUAUUUGCUGUAACUUAUCAAUGGUCACUAGUUGAUGAAUUUAGAUUGUCCAUUCCUGAUUGAUAAGUUAGCACAGGGGCCUGGUUCCUCGAAUGACACAUGUAUCUAGAUCUCCUAAUGCAAAGUUGGCCUCGAUGCUUUAUGUAAGUUCCUUCUGUCUGAGUUGGUGACUUAUUUGCAUUUUGUUCACAGAAACCAGUCUCUUGAUUACUGUUGAACCAGAUGUGAUUUCUGAACCUACAGAUCUCAGCCGAAGGAUGACAUAUUGGCAGAUAAAAUCAGUCAUACUGCACUCUCAGAUCAAGGGGAAUAAAUCUGUAUUAAUUGAGAUCAUGGACCCCAUAUGAUAGCCACAGACUUGACACAAAUGCAGCAAAAACAGCUCAGCAUGUGAGCACAACUGGAGGAGUACAAAUGUAAAACACCUGGAACAUGUUCAUAGACUUCUACAGAUUGAGUGUAGGAUAGAGCUUAUGAUAUAUAUUCUUGAAUGACCUGACCAAGGACCAGCUUGGAGAAUUCCAGCUCAUGGACACGAAAAGUUUCCUAAAACAGAACAUUAAUUGUACCACAGUUGCAGUAACAGGCUGAGGACGCCUCCGCUCCCCAAAGACCGGGUUCACCAAGAACAACACAAACAAUACUUGAACACAGCAAACUUCCUAAAACAGACCAACAUUCUACCACAGCUGCUGUCUGUCACAGGUCAUGGCUGAAGACAUCUGCCCAAAGACUGGGUUCACUUAAUUAGGAAUAACACAAACAAUACUUGGAUAACACCCCUUCAGGCAUAUGUAGUAUGAAGAUAAGAACAUUGUGACUUAGAGCUAGUCCGAAUUAUGGCCUCUACAACAAACAGAGGUUUACUGGUGUCACUCUGUCAUACACAAAAUCUUGUCUAGACUCAUAACUAUUUAGCAUUGUUCAGGUUCAACCAAAGUCUGUAUACAAAUGUAUGACUGUCUUAAUUGCGACAUAUGCAUUAUUUUAAUGGGCAAUUUUACUGUACACUGCUACCUUAUCAAUGUAUAUUUUGAUGCUUGAUUAUAAGUUUGAAUUACAUUCUUUAUUACUCAAAAAUAUCAAAUUUGUCAAACAACUAUCUUGUCAUUAUUGGAUGAUCAAAGGGAGAUAACUCACUUAUCUGUUUCAUAUUUUCAAGGUGGG